CUGAGGUCUGUGGUCUGCAUACUCUAAUCAAGCGAUGGAGUGCAUUUCCACAAGAUAUUUAAGAACAUUCUGCCUUCUGAUCAUGUUUCUACUCAUUAGUUUUAAUUUGCUAACAACCAUCAGGUCCAUCACUCCAGCUAAAGAUGAUAAUAAGCUAGCAUACAAUAAGAUGAACAUUAACAUUUCAAGGAAGUUGCUGAGGGUGAAGAAUAAGGAAUACGGUCUUUAUUCCCCCUUUUCAAACCCGCCUGACCAGAAUUUUGAACCUUGAAAAAGAAGUCCAUCGCCAUACAUUAUGAAGUUCCUUGAAAAAGAAGUCCUCUUUCCCCUAUUUUUAUUUUAUAUUUAUCGGUAGUAUCUUUUACCGUAUAGAAUAUUGUAUCAUUACCAUCUCAAACCUGCAAUACAAUCAACUAUUGCUUAUCACCAAACCAUGCAAUAAAAUGAACGAUGUUUGCUAU